CUUCCGGCACCAUCUUGCUUUGCUGUCUGCAGCUUUGACCGUAGGAAAGGGCAACUGCUAGAGCCAUGAAGCUCCUCAGCAGGGCCGGGUCCUUCUCGAGAUUUUAUUCCCUCAAAGUUGCCCCAAAGCUUAAAACUUCAGCCCCUGGAGGAGUGCCUCUGCAGCCUCAGGAACUUGAGUUUACCAAAUUACCAAAUGGUUUGGUGAUUGCUUCUCUGGAAAACUAUGCUCCACUAUCAAGAAUUGGCUUAUUCAUUAAAGCAGGCAGUAGAUAUGAGAACUACAACUACUUGGGAACCUCUCAUUUACUACGUCUUGCAUCUACUUUGACUACCAAAGGAGCUUCAUCUUUCAAGAUCACCCGUGGAAUUGAAGCAGUUGGUGGUAAAUUAAGGUGUGUUGGAUAAUAAUAAGAAAUAGGGCUGGAGAGAUGGCUCAGGAGUUAAAAGGCACAUUGUUCUUGCAGAGAAACUGAGUUGGGUCUCCAGCACUCACGUCCCAUGUCAGACAGAUCACAACUACUGUAACUUCUAGUUCCAGGAAUCCAACACCUUCUGGCCCUUGCAGUCAGCUACUUGCAUGUGCACAUAACCCCUGCACAGAUACAUACUUAUACAUAUAGUUAAAAAUAAAAUCUUUGUGGGUAGAGGAAGCUGGGCAUGAUGGCAUAUGCGUUUAAUCAUAGCACUUGGGAGGUAGACAAUCUCAGUAGGCCAGCCAUGUCUUCAUGGUGAGACCCUGUCUCAAAGUGUGUGGAGGAAUACAAAUAUUCAAUUAUAGGAUGACUCCUCGU
rnacentral:lncRNA from 1 species